rnacentral:rRNA from 1 species
UACGAAGGGGGCUAGCGUUGCUCGGAAUUACUGGGCGUAAAGCGCACGUAGGCGGUCUUUUAAGUCGGGGGUGAAAUCCUGGAGCUCAACUCCAGAACUGCCUCGAUACUGGAAGACUACGAGUCCGGGAGAGUGAGUGGAACUGCGAGUGUAGAGGUGAAAUUCGUAGAUAUUCGCAAGAACACCAGUGGCGAAGGCGGACUCACUGGCCCGGUACGUGG